rnacentral:lncRNA from 1 species
UGACAGAAAGGUGGUACCGCAGUGCCACACACUCGACCCUGCGGAGCCACCAAUGUUGAGGACAAGAUGCUGCGAUGCCGCAUCACAGGUGCCACGAAGCAGUCGAUUAUUGCAUUUAUAGCAUGAUUUGGCCAAUUUUGAAGCCCAUAAAAACCCUACACUCAACACCAACGUGAAGGAGGUGUAUACAUACAAGUCAUUGAUAUUUUUGAAGGGAUUCCAGCUUUGAGAAUAUGAGAAAUACGAUUAGAAAAUCAAAGAAACAAUUCAAGGAAAGAAAACAUCAAGAAAUUCACCAUUUGAAGUAUUGAUUGGAAGAUGAAGAAGAUUUUGGAUCAAGAUUAACUUCUUUUUUCUACAUCUAUACUGAAAAUCCGAUGAUGUAUUUAAUAACGAUCUAUUGUAUUUUUUCUUUCAUUAUGAGUAGCUAAAAUCUUGUUAGGGCGAAUAAUGUAAUCUACUUGGGGCUCUUUAUGUCUUUUAUUCAAG